UGGGGGGUAGCCAAGUGGUAAGGCACUGGACUUUGAAUCCAGUCAUCGUAGGUUCGACCCCUACCCCUCCAGCCA
rnacentral:tRNA from 1 species